rnacentral:rRNA from 1 species
UGGGGAAUAUUGCGCAAUGGGCGAAAGCCUGACGCAGCGACGCCGCGUGAGGGAUGAAGGUUUUCGGAUCGUAAACCUCUGUCAGAAGGGAAGAAACCGCACUGUGCUAAUCAGCAGUGCCUUGACGGUACCUUCAAAGGAAGCACCGGCUAACUCCGUGCCAGCAGCCGCGGUAAUACGGAGGGUGCAAGCGUUAAUCGGAAUUACUGGGCGUAAAGCGCACGUAGGCUGCUUUGUAAGUCAGGGGUGAAAUCCCACGGCUCAACCGUGGAACUGCCUUUGAUGCUGCUUAGCUUGAAUCCGGUAGAGGGUGGCGGAAUUCCAGGUGUAGGAGUGAAAUCCGUAGAUAUCUGGAGGAACAUCAGUGGCGCAGGCGGCCACCUGGACCGGUAUUGACGCUGAGGUGCGAAAGCGUGGGGAGCAAACAGG